GCCUGCUUCCGACUUCACUGGCAUCUGUCAAAAGUAGGGAGGAAGGGGGCAAGCUGGGACAGAGACUAGAAAAGCAGUUACGCUUUUUGUUUCUAGUAACACUUACCUGGAGUUUAUGGCUAGCUUCCAUGUUACCCCAGGAGUUUAUGGCUAGCUUCCAUGUUACCCCACGAGUAAGGACCAGCAGCGAUGAUGCCAGGGAGACCUAUCAGAUCACCAGCCACAGUCCAGCCCUCCUCACGGACGCAGACCACAAACCAGAAGAACGGAAUCAGCCAAAGGCUACCCAGGAUCACCUACCCGUGGAUGGCACUGCUCACAGAAGGCUGGACGCUUGCACACCAAUCAUACAUCAAGAAAAUGCAGCUAGGUGGUUAUGGUACAUGCUUGUAAACCCAGCACUCUGGGAAGCAGAGGCAGGCAGAUUUCUGAGUUCAAGGCCAGCCUGGUCUACAGAGUGAGCUCCAGGCCAGCCUGGUCUAUAGAAUGAGUACCAUGACACCCUAGGCUACACAGAGAACCCCUAUCUCGAAAAAUGAAACCAAACCAAACCAAAACCAUCACCACAGACACAAACAAACAAACAAACACGAAAAACAAAACAGCAUUUGGAAAUGGGGAGAGAUAGCUCAGUGGUUAAGAAAAUACAUUGCUCCUGGGAGGACCCUAGUUUGGUUUCUGAUGCCCAUUUUAGGUGGCUUACAACAGCCUUUAACUCCAGUUUCAUGGGGUUCAGCACCCCUUGUCUCCACAGGCACCCACACCUCCUCCACACAUAAUCAAACAUAUAAUACUAUACUAAACAUUAAAACAGCCUUCGUGAUCA